AGUGAACGCUGGCGGUAGGCCUAACACAUGCAAGUCGAACGGCAGCACAGAGGAGCUUGCUCCUUGGGUGGCGAGUGGCGGACGGGUGUGGAAUACAUCGGAAUCUACUCUGUCGUGGGGGAUAACGUAGGGAAACUUACGCUAAUACCGCAUACGACCUACGGGUGAAAGCAGGGGACCUUCGGGCCUUGCGCGAUUGAAUGAGCCGAUGUCGGAUUAGCUAGUUGGCGGGGUAAAGGCCCACCAAGGCGACGAUCCGUAGCUGGUCUGAGAGGAUGAUCAGCCACACUGGAACUGAGACACGGUCCAGACUCCUACGGGAGGCAGCAGUGGGGAAUAUUGGACAAUGGGCGCAAGCCUGAUCCAGCCAUACCGCGUGGGUGAAGAAGGCCUUCGCGUUGUAAAGCCCUUUUGUUGGGAAAGAAAUCCAGCUGGCUAAUACCCGGUUGGGAUGAUGGUACCCAAAGAAUAAGCACCGGCUAACUUCGUGCCAGCAGCCGCCGUAA
rnacentral:rRNA from 1 species